rnacentral:rRNA from 1 species
GACAGAGGUGCCGAGCGUUAGGCGGAAUCACUGGGCUUAAAGCGUGUGUAGGCGGGUCGUUAAGUGCCUUGUGAAAUCCCACAGCUCACCUGUGGAACUGCUUGGCAUACUGGCGAUCUUGAGCCAGCUUAGGGGCAACCGGAACAAACGGUGGAGCGGUGAAAUGCGUAGAUAUCGUUUGGAACGCCAAUGGUGAAAACAGGUUGCUGGGAGUGCGCUGACGCUGAGACACGAAAGCCAGGGGAGCGAACGGG